rnacentral:lncRNA from 1 species
GUGGCUGCUAUCCCAAAGUCGUGUGGUGGAUGCUCUAAAGAAGCUUAAAGCAUCAGUUUUGGAAGAUACCUGUCUAGCAGCAGACAGAUUGGCAGUGCUAAAGGCUUCAGUAGAAGAUAUGAAGAAGUCUUUCACUGCUAGAUUUUAUCAUGCAAUGCACUGCUUGAAAAGCCUCAAGAAAAAACAAGAAAUAGCUUCAAAUGUCAAGAGUAAUGGUGGGAAUCUGGGUAUGAUCAAAUAUCCGGGCACAGAGAUGUGGAUCCCUAAAGUGUUUGGAAUGAAAAUCCCAGAUCCCGGAGGGUCCAGUUUGAUGGUGCCAAUUCUGGGAAUAGACUUUGACUGCAAUAACAGGCAGCCUUCCCCACUCGCAGGGACCAUGGAAGAUGGAAAUGGAAAAGGCCUUGUCCCUAUCGCUAUUGGUGCCAGAACCAUAAGUCCAAUUACAGGUGAAAUUGGACCUGUUAUCGGUGCUCAAACCCACCCCCAGACACACAACGUAAUUCCUGUUGUUCAGUCCUUCAGAGCUUUACCAAGAGCCACGGAUUCAGAGCUGCUGGACCUCCUAGAGAAGGAAAUAAAUUCAAGGCAAAUAUACUGGCACUGCAG